GGAAAUGGAUGAAAUAAUUUUAUUUGCACAUGUUAUUUUAUUAAAAUAUCUUAGCCUUAAUUUCCACAUGUUUGAAUGUUCGGUUAAUUAUUUAUGACCGAUCCCGAAUAUCCCAAACAAUUCGAGCCGACAUCGUUUAUCUGCUUCAACAGCAACGAAAAAGAUCCAAACCUCACACAAUCAAGCAGGGAUUAGAUUACUAACAAUGGAUAAGAAAGAAUCUGCCAAGCGGGCCUCUGAGGAUGCGACUCGCGAGUCUCUAAUUGCAAUUUCAUAUGGAGCACCAGAUCUAACUGCUAAAAAGUCACCUAAAAGUAAACCAGGGGAGAAUGUAGUUGAACCUCUUAAUCAUGAUGAUGAUGAGAAAUAUAGAUCUGAGUUGAUCUCCAUAUCAUCUUCAACAUCUUCAAACAUGCAAGCACAACCAGUCUUGCCCGGGCAACCUCAACCUUAGCCUGGACAACAGACACGACUGAUGGCCUCAUUAUAACCUUUGGGAUAAAUGAUAACAAGUUCUGGCUUGAAUUUUUCCCUUACUGCAGGGGCCUUCAGUGUAUUUGGCUCUUUAUCGAACUGUUACCUUUCUAAAACUGCCAUGGUGACCAUUAGACUGGCUGAUGUUUAAAAUCUUGAUAAUGUAAGAAUAUUCGGACAUGUACCACUGCAUAAGUAGUCAGUGGCAGCCAUCGCUGCAAAAAAGUUUGCUUCUUUUAGCUUCUACUUUUGCUGCAUUCGACUUUGAAACUUCUAGUCACAAAUAACUUUUGUUUGUGCCUUCAAUAUAUUUUCUAAUGGAAUUAUCUGUGAGAAUCCAGUUGGAAAAA